AACCUUACCAGGGCUUGACAUUCAGGGUGAAGCGGCGGAAANCGUCGUGGCCGAGAGGAGCCUGAACAGGUGGUGCAUGGCUGUCGUCAGCUCGUGUCGUGAGAUGUUGGGUUAAGUCCCGCAACGAGCGCAACCCUCGUCGCAUGUUGCCAGCGGUUCGGCCGGGCACCCAUGCGAGACCGCCGGCGUUAAGCCGGAGGAAGGUGGGGACGACGUCAAGUCAUCAUGCCCCUUAUGUCCUGGGCUGCACACGUGCUACAAUGGUCGGCACAAUGGGCUGCCAGCCCGCGAGGGCGAGCGAAUCCCUAAAGCCGGCCCCAGUUCGGAUUGGAGGCUGCAACCCGCCUCCAUGAAGUCGGAGUUGCUAGUAAUCGCGGAUCAGCACGCCGCGGUGAAUGCGUUCCCGGGCCUUGUACACACCGCCCGUCACACCACCCGAGUCGAUUGCACCCGAAGUCGCCGGCCCAACCCGCAAGGGAGGGAGGCGCCGAAGGUGUGGUUGGUAAGGGGGGUGAAGUCGUAACAAGGUAGCCGUACGAGAACGUGCGGCUGGAUCACCU
rnacentral:rRNA from 1 species